GCCAGCAGUCAUAUCACCCUGCAACUCCCAACUGGUAGCCCACGGAAGCUAAGCAGGUGUGAGCCUGGUCAGUACCUGGAUAGGAGACCUCCUGGGAAGCUAUGGUUGCUGCUGGAA
rnacentral:rRNA from 1 species